AGAGUUUGAUCAUGGCUCAGGAUGAACGCUAGCUACAGGCUUAACACAUGCAAGUCGAGGGGCAUCAGGAUGUAGCAAUACAUUGCUGGCGACCGGCGCACGGGUGAGUAACACGUAUCCAACCUACCGGUUAUUCCGGGAUAGCCUUUCGAAAGAAAGAUUAAUACCGGAUAGUAUAACGAGAAGGCAUCUUUUUGUUAUUAAAGAAUUUCGAUAACCGAUGGGGAUGCGUUCCAUUAGUUUGUUGGCGGGGUAACGGCCCACCAAGACAUCGAUGGAUAGGGGUUCUGAGAGGAAGGUCCCCCACAUUGGAACUGAGACACGGUCCAAACUCCUACGGGAGGCAGCAGUGAGGAAUAUUGGUCAAUGGACGAGAGUCUGAACCAGCCAAGUAGCGUGAAGGAUGACUGCCCUAUGGGUUGUAAACUUCUUUUAUAUGGGAAUAAAGUGAGCCACGUGUGGCUUUUUGUAUGUACCAUACGAAUAAGGAUCGGCUAACUCCGUGCCAGCAGCCGCGGUAAUACGGAGGAUCCGAGCGUUAUCCGGAUUUAUUGGGUU
rnacentral:rRNA from 1 species